GCAGCCUCCCCUUUCUCUCUCCCUACUUCUUGUAUUUUAGUUCGUUUGCUGCCAAUUUAGAUCGACCUAAUCAUCGUUUUUUUCUCAUAUGAUUGGAUUUCUGUGCUUGGUGGAGCAGGUAGAACACAAACAGGCACACACGGGAGAAGGUGCUCAUGGUACUCGUUGCCGAUGUCAAGGCCUGGUUUACAUGUGUCUCCAGGAUGCCGAUUCAUGGCGAGGCUAAUCCUAGGUGCGGUUGUUGCUCUCGCAGGCUUAAUUCACAUGUGUGUCUAGAAUUUUAGAUCAUGAUGAGGUUGCCAAUCCCUAUUGCUUCCGGUCAUUAGCGGAGGCUGUUGUUUGGGAGAUGGUGUAGUACAUGGUACUAGGUCUACUCACUCCCAGAACCAGAGCAAGAUAGGAAGCAACAUUUUCAUGCCCCAAUCCAGAAUAUGCAGAGAAGAUGAUCGCUGCAAUUUAUGAAGUACGGGUUGAUGGAAAUUUGAUUGGUGGGACGGUCACAUGUGUAUUUCCAGAAAUGUUUCUCAUAAUGACUUUGAAUUUCAGGUAUAAUUUAUAGGCGUCACACUCCUUUUGAUAUAAUCUGUAUAUUUGGAACACCAGGUAAGCAUAUCAGGUAAAUGAAAAGGGGUGGCCAAUACUGAAUGAGGGUAACGCUACUUGCAGAGUAAUUACAGAAUGAACUUAGUCAGCAUUUGCCUUUGUUGAUCUACUCGAAUUACUGUAUUUGUUUUGUACCUUUAAACUCUCCUUAUAACGACUUGGUUUAUUUUCCAUUUGUGAAAUAAUGGUUUGUAGACUUAAGACAGCCCAUUGGUAUAAUCACCACAUUUACUUUGGUUGGAGUUAUA